CGCACCCCGGCCCUAAGCCGGACGCUGGUCACCCGGGACACCUGGGGCGUGGAGGGCCACCUGCGCUGGCUGAGCUGGAAACGGACUCUUCAUUUUUCUUGAUUUUUCUAGUGGCACUCGAAGGAUGUGAGAAAGAAUAUCAAUGGUCAAUCUUAUUCAGACACAGGAACCACACCUGGAGGCUAACCAUAGACAUAUUUGUGAGCACUGGCAUGGCCUAUUUCCAAUGUAGAAGACCUUGAGGCUCUCUGUGGGAACACUUCCAGCCAACUCCUUUGUCCCAGAUGUGGAAAACUCAAGGUGGGGUGAACCCAGAUGGAAGUUAUAUGAAGGAAGGUGGGGGUGAACUUGGAUGGAAAGGAGGACUAUAGCCUUAAUACUUUACAAUGCAUAGUGUUUAACAUACACGUUGCUCCAUGCUCUGCCCAGAACUAUGUAUAAACUCCUAAGCUGGCACAUUAAAAUGGAUUUUUCUGCUAUCAGGCCCUCUUCUGCAUCGUGGGAGUCCUAGCUCUUCUGGCUUAAAUAAAUCUUGCUCCAUUUACUCUU